GGUAGGCAUUGAGGCAGCCAGCGCAGGGGCUUCUGCUGAGGGGGCAGGCGGAGCUUGAGGAAACCGCAGAUAAGUUUUUUUCUCUUUGAAAGAUAGAGAUUAAUACAACUACUUAAAAAAUAUAGUCAAUAGGUUACUAAGAUAUUGCUUAGCGUUAAGUUUUUAACGUAAUUUUAAUAGCUUAAGAUUUUAAGAGAAAAUAUGAAGACUUAGAAGAGUAGCAUGAGGAAGGAAAAGAUAAAAGGUUUCUAAAACAUGACGGAGGUUGAGAUGAAGCUUCUUCAUGGAGUAAAAAAUGCGAAGAAAAGAAUAGAGAAGAUAGGGAAAUUAGAAGAUAAAAACAUACUUUUAGAAGAAAAAAGAUAAAUUUAAACCUGAAAAGUAGGAAGCAGAA
rnacentral:lncRNA from 10 species